rnacentral:lncRNA from 1 species
AUUCAAGUAGUUAAAUGUGGCAAGCAAGAGAAUUGUCAAUAAUGAUAAGCUACAAUGUCCAUAUCUGAGACUAUCACCGUCAAAAGGGUGAAGGCGUUGGGAUGGCUAAAGCAAUGUUUUUCACAUGCAUUAUAUUUACAACCCAAAAAGGUAAUAAAAGGGUAAAACUGCUAAUUAGCCUAAUUAUAACAGCCAACAAAAAAGGACUCUCAGCAAUUGGGGGGGUCAGAAGGUCAAAUCUUAUCUUCAAGCGCCUGAGACACCUGUUACUUUCCAAAUACAUGUGGUUCCGAGCAUCCCAGAAUCUCCAUAACAACCAUAUUUGUAGAUCAGCGAGGGAGAGGUCAAGAAAAACAAGUUUAUAUAGCUUAAUCAAAAAGGGGAAAAGGGGUCUCAGCUCACUUGGAAAAAGUAACAAACCUCAGUUGACUAGACCCCUCAAUUCAAUACCAAAAAUCACAACACGAACCCACAUACUGGAGAACUCAACUGAAAUGAAAAAAGUACAAGCACAAAAUCAGAAAAAAUCAACAACAAUCAGAAGCAGAAAUCAGAGAAAAGGGAAAAAAAUACUUAUGCAAGCUGGAAAGAGCUUUAUGCAGGAGCGGCCAAGGUACAAAGUUGAUUACCCACAGCUGAAGAAAGAGGAAUUGAAGAUUCACAAAGGGAAAAAUGAUGGAAGGAGGUGGAGAAUAGUGAAGCUCAACACUGAGCUCC